GGCCGGCGGGCCGCGCAGGGCGGCGCGGGCUGGGGGACGCGGCGGGCGGCUCCGGGAGGCGACGGGACCCCCAGGCCGGCAGCCGAGUGAAGAGGCAGGAACUGUCUACAAAUGCUCCGGCUCCGAAGCCCCGAGGGAAAGAGCAUCUUUCACGGAGCACCAGGAAUUGACGACGGUGGAAUUUGCUCAGAUCCCCUGAGGCCGGUUCUUUGAGUUUCUGUCUGGCCCUCCGGGAGAACCGUCCCAAAGUUAACUUUGAAAACACUCACAGGAGAGGGAAGGCUGUGGGGUCCUUCGCUUCUCAAACCCCAGAUGCCCCCGGAAAGAACACCGCCCCCGACCACCACCACAACCAGAUGUUUUUAAAAAGAGAUGCUAAGCAAAAGGCCUGAUUAUGAGGAAUGAGCCAAAGUCAUGCAAGGCGUGGGGCGCUAUGGGACUGCGCAGUGACGACCCAGUGAAGUAGAUGCCUUGACGAUUCCCAUUUCACGGAUGAGACGACUCCGGCACAGAGAAGUCAGAGGGCCUGUCCUGGGUCACACAGCCACAGGCGGCCCCCAGAACGGGACUUCAGGGUGCACCACUGCACCCCAGCAGAGACCUCCGCCUGGCACACAGGGAAUGCUGGAGCAAUACUUAAAUAGGAGCACACAGCACGCUGCACUGUGGGGACCGCUGUCCUUUGGUCUGCAUGCUGCUCAUCGCAUCUGGGGGAGAGGACCCGAUAUCGUUUGUUUUUACGUCCGCGAACUUCACAUGGUGUUACCAUAGUUCUACAGGACAAGCCAUCAUUUCACAGUUUUCAUGCCUGACCUGCCUCCAGAGCUCUUGAAAACUUUGGAACCAAGAAUAUUUUUAUCAGCCAUCCUCCAGACUCACUCACGGGUUACCUGACCGCACUAAAUCCAAAAUGAGGGUAAAAAUCCCUGCUGCAAAUUCCUCCUGGCUUUGCCAUCUUGGCCAGUCAUUCCACCAAACCGAUUGUGCCUUGCAGAUAAAAGUCGUAAAACUGAAAGGCAAGUGGCAGAUGCAAACUGAUUUCCUAAUUGAUCCCUUGGUUCAACCUGCAUCUACAGGGAAGUUACUGUGUCUGGCACAGUGCUGGACACUGGGAUACAAACAAAGGGUGCAUCCAGGAGGUCCUUAAGAAGAAGCAGUCCCAGACUGUAGAAGCCUCCCAGAAGAAGAAGGGGGAGAAGUGUGUGAAUCAUGACUCUGAAGAGCAUGAAGAAAGAUGUCACCGCAGCUGGGGGAGUCUCCUCCCAGGUUUCCCAGCCCAGCUGCCUCACCUCUGGCCAGCAAGGUCCACUGCACACAGAGGUAACCACUGGAACAAGCAGCUGGAAACCUCAGCUUCUUUCCCUGUAGGCUCCAGGAGCUUCUAAUUCAUGUCUGUUGUCCACAUGCUGAGGCUUCUAUCCAUCCCUCAACCCCUGCUGCACAGGAAACCCUUCCUGCCUCUUCUCUGGCGUUGAGCCCCUGACUCUCCCAUCCAGCUUCCAGCUCAGCCCCACAUAUGUCUCUCUGUGUCUGUGUUUAUCACUGGUGAAUCUUCAGCAUUGGGGCUACCCUAUGCCAGCUCAAGGCCCAGCUGAGCCCGCCUGGCCCCCAACUUGCACCGUGGAGAUGGGGACUUGGUCACAGAGAUUAAAGUAGACACUGGGGGCAGAGAGGCCAGGGAUGGAAGGGAACUUAAAUAAGGCCACAGGUAAGUGGAUUCAUUUGCUUGGGCUGCUAUAAGACCCACAGACUGGGCAGCUUCACUAACAGGCAUUUAUCUGCCCACAGUUCUGGAGGCUAGAAGUCUGCAAUCGAGGGGUCAGCAGGGUGGAUUUCUUCUGAGGCCUCUGUUAAAUGGUAAACUGAGGCACCAUAAAAGUUGAGAUUUUAUUUGUUAAAACCCCAGUCCAAACAGCUUCAAGCCAGAAGUGGUUGGGUACACUACUGAGCAAACACAGACAAAGCCAGUUAGGCCUCAUAAGAGAUGUAGAUCUUGCUUGAUUUCCAAACAUAAGCAAAACUUAGCUUCAGCUGUUUCUUGUAAAUGGCUACAUUGAAGAACAAGGCCAGCCCAUUAGCCCUGAAACUAGGGACUUUUCAGCAGGAAAGACUAAAUAAAACAGCUAUACAAUUGUAAUCAAUCGCAUGUUUUCUUCGCUUUACUUGCGUGUGCACCCUAGGUUUAUCAUAAGGUUAAAUGUCAUGGCGAAUGUGAAAAAAGCCUUUUGGAAACGAUGUGUGUAAAUAUCAUUGCAGUCACCUUAUAAAAAGGAAGUUUGAGGAGAAAAGGGAAAGCAGCACUCUCUUACGCCCCAGGCAAAUCGUGGCUGAACCAAAUACAACCCUGCGAUGAGCAUUCCUGGUGCCCCACAGCUUCCCGCAGAUGGCAGAUGGUCCAUGCUGUGGGAGGAAGACUCGUGUGUGCAUAUAUAUGAGGCUGCCCUGACAGACCAGGCCAAUCCUGCUUCCCGGUGACUGUGGCUUCCUUGUCUCUAGGAGGCCUCGGUUCAAUUAACUUAGCAGAUGUUUAUGAGGCACUGAAUAUGUGUAGCCUAGAAGGUCCAUGAGAGAAUGAAGGGCCCUGGGUCUGAUUUAGGCAACCCCGUAUACCUAGCCCCUACGACACAUCUGUGUGGCACCAACAUAGCCUCCCAAUAAAUAUCUGAUUGACAGCAGACUAUCAGGCACUGGGCUAGGGACAAGGGUCAGAGUGCAGCAAAAGGCGACCAUCGCGUAGAUGCUAACCACUCACCGCAUGCACUUUGUUGAGAUAGAAGCAAAAUUCUCUAAGCACAGAGAAGAAUGUGAUUCAUUCUGCUCUGUCAUUAAGGGCAGGGAAGUGCUGCUCAGGGAUGGCCGUGGAAGCUGGGCCUUCCAGGACAGGUGAGAUUUUAACGUAAUGGCGAGCUAAAGAACAGGUGUUCCCAGCAGCAGCAGCAGCACACAAGAAAGCAUGCAAAUGAGGACAUGUGCGGGGGCAAUGUUUCCUGUGGCUGCUGGAAUAAACUGCGACUAACAUAGUUUAAAACAAUACAAGCGUAUUAUCUUACACUUCCUAGGGGAGGUCAGAAAUCUCACGGGCUCUGCUGGCUUCUGUGCUUCGUCUCUCAAGGCCAAAAUCAAGAUGUCAUCAGUGCUGAGCUCUGGUGCAGGAUCCACGUCCAGGCUCACUGGGGCUGCUGGCAGAAUUCAGCUGUGUGGGGUUGUAGGAAUGAAGUCCUUGUUUCCUUGCUGGCUGUUGGCCAGGGGCUGCCCUCAGCUUCUGGAGGCCGCCUGCCCUCCCUGGUUCAUGGCCCAUCUCAUCCUGACAGCCAGCACCCGCGGGAAGUCCCUCUUGCACUGUGACUCUCUCCCGCCUCUUCCAUUCUCUAUGGCUUGUCUGCCUCCCUCUUUCAUCUUUAAGAGUGCAUGUGAGUAUAUUGGACCUACCUGAAUCAGCCAGGCUAACCUCCCCAUUUUAAGGUCUGCAGCCUUAAUUCUACCUGCAAAGUCCCUUUUGCCAUGUAAUGUGCCAUAUUCACAGGUGUCAGGAAUCAGAGGGCAGGUAUAUUGGGGGACCAUUAUUCUGCCAACUACACAGGGCCUUAUAUGGUCUGGCUCUGUGUCCCCAUUCAAAUCUCAUCUUGAAUUGUAAUCCGAAUUGUAACCCCCACGUGUUGGGGGGAGGGACCUUGUGGGAGGUAAUUAAAUCAUGGGGGCGGUUACCCUCAUGCUGUUCUUGUGAUAGUGAGUGAGUUCUCACGAGAUCUGAAGGUUUUGCAAGGAGCUUUUCCCCCUUUUGCUCAGGACUCUCCUUCCUGCAGCCAAGUGAAGGACAAGUUUGCUUCCCCUUCCACAAUGAUUGUA
ensembl:lncRNA B3GALT5-AS1 B3GALT5 antisense RNA 1